rnacentral:misc_RNA from 1 species
CCACCACCACCACCAUCAUCACCAUCACCUUCUGUAUUAUUCUCCUUUAGCUUUUGUUGUUUUGCUUUUCCAAUUUCUCCAAGACUAAUUUCAUAGCCUUUUCUCUCCUACCCUUUUCAAAUUUUCCUUUUCUUGAGCUAUCACAUCCACAAAUGGUGCUAUCAAAACUUCGUGGCCAUAGGUUUUUCAAGUUCAGAAGCAGUCCAGUUCAUAAUUCUUCUUCUUUUGGAUUAUUACUUGAUGUAUAAUCUCAAAAAAUCCUCUCCACAACCAUAUUCCAGCAAUUAGCCUUUUAUUAAUCUAUACAUCUAUCUCUCUAUUGGUUCACAAAAAGCUAACUCUUCUCUUCUCUAGUCUCUUCCACCUAUCAAAUACUGUUCUUGCAUAGGUCUCUCAGAUUCUUAUCUCUUAAAAUAUCUGCACAGCUUUUUUUAAAUAUUGAUCUUUUCUGGGUUUAAUUCAGAGACUGAUGGUUGCCAAGGACUACGAGUUUGCACGUGGAGUUCUUGUUGAAAUGACUUGGAUUAUGCUAUGUGUGGAUUACUCGAGGCUUUUUUGGUUAUUGUUUGGUGUUUUUUCCUACGAAAAUCAUGAGGGAAAGCCUCGGAUCAUCUAGCACAAGCAUCUCCAACUUCUUCAAUAGUUUCUGUAGAUAAUAAAUAAUAUACAGUAGAUUUAGCUGAUCAUAAAGGUAAUUAAGAGGGCUCCAACAGAAAACUUCUCUGCUGGUGUGGAUUUUCAGAUAGAGGGUUUCUUGAUUAAUUAGUUUCUCAUCAGCCAUGUACAAGAAUCGAUUAGGAGGUAGCGUUGGUGGAACAAAGCCACAGCUUGGAUAUGUUGAAACUGACCCUUCUGGUCGCUAUGGACGAUUCAGAGAAGUUCUUGGCAAAGGUGCCAUGAAGACAGUGUAUAAGGCUUUUGAUGAGGUUCUUGGAAUGGAGGUGGCAUGGAAUCAAGUGAAGCUUAAUGAUGUUUUACGUUCACCAGAGGAGUUACAGCGACUAUACUCCGAGGUUCACCUCCUUAAGAACCUCAGUCAUGACUUCAUCAUAAAAUUCUACACAUCUUGGAUUGACAUUGAUCGAAGAAACUUCAACUUCAUCACUGAAAUGUUUGCCUCAGGCACCCUAAGAGAGUACAGAAAGAAGUACCAGCGAGUGGAUAUUCGAGCAGUCAAGAACUGGGCACGUCAAAUUCUCCAUGGACUUUCUUAUCUUCACGGAAACGAUCCUCCUGUGAUACAUAGAGAUCUCAAGUGUGAUAACAUUUUCGUCAAUGGCCAUCUUGGGCAAGUCAAGAUUGGUGAUCUAGGCCUAGCAGCUAUUCUUCGUGAGUCACAGCAUGCUCACAGUGUCAUAGGCAAUUACUAUUUCCCUCUCUUCUGUAUUAUAUACAGUACAAGUAAUUUUGAUCCCUCAAUCACCUUUCUGAUGUAUUUCCUUUUGGCUUCUGAUAAAUUUAUUAGGUACCCCUGAAUUUAUGGCACCAGAAUUAUACGAAGAGGAAUAUAAUGAACUGGUAGACAUUUAUUCCUUCGGCAUGUGUGUGUUAGAGAUGCUCACUUCUGAGUAUCCAUAUAGCGAGUGCUCCAAUCCAGCCCAGAUAUACAAGAAAGUGACUUCUGGAAAGUUGCCAGAGGGAUUCUACAGGAUUAAAGAUAUCGAAGCCCAGAAAUUUGUGGGGAAAUGUUUAGAGACUGCUUCAAAGAGGUUGCCUGCUCGGGAGCUCUUGUUGGACCCAUUUCUGGCAUCUGAUGAAUCCAAACUGCUGCCAGUGCCAAAAAUCCCAUUUCAAACGUCUUCUCCUGAUGGAACAGAGGAGAUCAUUCCAUCUUUGUUGGCUGACCCUACCAAGGCCACAGAAAUGACUAUUACCGGAACCCUGAAUCUUGAAGAUGACACAAUUUUCCUUAAAGUACAAAUUUCUGACAAGGAUGGUGGCACCAGGAACAUAUACUUUCCCUUUGAUACCAUGAACGACACUGCAAUUGAUGUCGCACUGGAAAUGGUGAAAGAAUUGGAGAUCACUGACUGGGGACCAAUGGAGAUUGCUGAAAUGAUAGAGGAGCAGAUAACAUCCUUGAUUCCAAACUGGGAAGAGUGGGACUUCUCCCAAGUCUCCCAAGUCAAGCACAGCUUUAACUAUGAUGAUGAAGAAGAGGACAGAACCCACCAUCCUUUCCACUCCAUCUCCUCCCGUAAUUCUUCUCAGGCUUCUCUUUUGGCUUUAAACCCUUCCUAUGAUAAGCAGCAGCAUCACGGAAGCAACCAUGAAUGGCUUCAAGGAGAGGCAUUUAUGAAUGAUGAUGCGAGUUCUCAAAGCUCGUUCAACUGCUCUACUUUAAAUUACUGCUCAGGCAAUGAAGAUGACAGCGAUAUCAGAGGAGGAGAGCCUCUCUGCUUCACAAAGGCCCAUAAAUCUACAAGAUUCUGUCCUGCAGACAGCUUGUGUGCGAAACAAUUUAGACAAAGCAAUUGGCAUUUGGAUUCUUGGGAAGGCAAUAGCUCAAAUACCCAGCGAAAGCUAAGCAGGAUCCGAUCACUUGUUGAUGUUCGUAGCCAGUUAUUGCACAGAUCACUGCUGGAGGAGAUACACAAGAGGAGAUUAUUCAGGACUGUUGGAGCUGUUGAGAAUAUUGGAUUUCAAGAGCCCGGUUUUCCAGAUGAUGAUGAAAAGCAAAGAUUUAAAUGGUGAAAGAAAAUCCCAUUUAUUAGUAAAUAGAUAACUUUUGCACUGUGUUUUUCUAAGCAAUGCUUGUAAAAACUGUGAACACCUUGAUAAGGUUUUGGGUUUUGUUGAAUCAAAUAAACCAUUGUCCUGAUCCUGGACAAAGCAUAUCAGAUGCAUACGAUAUCUCUUUACUUGGAUAUCGUUUAUGAAAUAAUUUAUCAGAUCCUGGCGUGAAAAUUUUGCUCUUCUUUUCU